GGAGUAUCCUUGCCUGUCUCAGUGAUGUUUUAAGGAGCCAAAAAAGCAUCUUGACCUUUGGCUGAGAAUGGCUGAGAUCUGGACCUGUCACUGCCUAACUGAGAGCUUCAGAUUGGUGCAUGAUACUGGAUGGGGUUCCAGGACAUCACAGAAAUUGUCACCUUCUGGACUGAGUUGAGGGUCCUGAGCUCUGGAAAAGACAUUAGGCGGUGACAGAGCCUUGGAACAGGCUGCCCAGAGAGGUUGUGGAGACUCCCUCUCUGGAGAUAUUCAAGACCCAUCUGGACACUUUCCUGUGUAACCUACUGUAGGGAACCUGCUUAAGCAGGGGGGUUGGACUCAAUGAUCUCCAGAGCUCCCAUCCCGCCCCUGUGAUUCUAUGAUUCUAUGAUACCCUUUUUGGACCUUCCCCAUCUGUUAGCUCAAAACUGGACUGUGUUCUGCUUAGGUAGCGGCAUCCACUGCUGUGGGCCAGCGCAGACAGAGGAGACUUCACUGCUGUGUGCAGGGUGA
rnacentral:lncRNA from 1 species